GCCGAGAUGGUGAAAUUGGUAGACACGCUAUCUUGAGGGGGUAGUGCUAUAAUUGUAGCAUGUGGGUUCAAAUCCCACUCUCGGUA
rnacentral:tRNA from 1 species